GAGGGUAUGGCUCAGUGGUAGAGCACCUGUUUAGCAUGCAUGGGGUCCUGGGUUCAACUGGGUUCAAUCCUCAGUACCUCUA
rnacentral:tRNA from 1 species